UCAACAAAUGUGAUUGCGUGGCAGCUCCUCUGGACAGGGUGUGCACCAUCUCCAGCUCAAUAGGAUUGGUCAAAGCUCUAAAAUUAUGGAAUUGGCUCGGCUCAUAGGGAAUUUGCAAGGUUUCAGCUAUAUGGCGUGCUCCCAAUAUGCCAUGCCUCCCAUCAAUAGUGAAAUGAAUUAAAGUUGGAUCCCUGACCUGGUUGGUUGUCA
rnacentral:lncRNA from 1 species